ACCGAAGCCAUUACCAUGACCGCGGUAGUGACGCAAGGAUCGACAACAACCACCAUCCUGAAGACAGCUCCACGUAAGAUGAGAGUGCUCUGUUUCCUGGCAAGCACUGACGACAGCCUUGGCGCGCUUUCUGGCGGUGUGUGCUCAAAAAUGGUGGGAGCAAUUCACGUGGGCUACAAAGUGUUGAACGGUGAGAACGAACAGGUCUGCACUGGCCCGCAUUACCGACGUGCAUUCUCUCAGGACUUAUCUUUCGGUCCAUGAAUUAGUUAUCUCCGCCAAAGUUGGCCGCCUUUUGGACAUAGCGCGCACCGGGGA
rnacentral:lncRNA from 1 species